GACGGGGCUGUCCGGAGCCAGCGGGAGCACCCGGGACCGCCCCUCCGGGGAUAACGCGGAGGAGCCCGGCGGCCGCACAGUCCCGUUGGACACCGAUCCCAUGGCGGGGCUGCCGGGCGGGGGGCUGCCGGUGCCGGCGGGCUGAGUCACGGAGAAGGCGCACCUGUCCUCCACGGGGAAGUCGGUGACGAGCACUCCGCUGGGGCUCUGGAAUAAAGGACCUGGUAAUGCCCAUGGAGCAUCAAAUUUGAAACAAGAUGCUGUUUUACUGCUAAACUGGGAUGAAAAGAAAAAGAGUAAGAAAGAAUGUGUACCCAAGAAACACAACUGAGGACUGAGGUACUGCUGCUUCUGUCACUCUUGUCAUGGAAGUUAUAAAUUCUUGUCUAUAUUAUUGUAAAAAUAAUUUUGUAUUUGCUAAUAUUUAGACUGAUAUUACUUGUUUCGCGGCUGAUUUACCAGCACUAUUUCCUGAUCCUGUCUCUUCCUUUACUGCCUCAGAGGUGGGUGCAGAGAUUGUCUCCUCUGUGAGAGAAGGAGGGUACCUGGCAGCUCCAUCAUUUAUAGAGCUGAUUGGGAAUUUUCCAACAGGAAGUAUUUGAGAUUUCAAUAUGUUAACCAAAUUUUGUGUGUGAGUAUUUCAUAUUUUGCUGCGAAAAACAUUUCCUGCCUUGUUUGAAUUAUAUGUCCUUCUUUGAUUUUCCUUUUAAUUUUCCAACACAAUUUAUAUCUCCCAACACUUUCACCAGUAAAACUCCCACAGGCUUCAGGGUAGAUAAUCAGGUCCAAUAGGAUUAGGUCAGUCUAACAGUAAAGUAGGAAAUUUCUGUCAAAGGUUAUCAAACUUUCCAAAAGUUACACCUAUUUCUAAUUUUUGUUCAGUGAAUAUGAGGUGAAUCUGAAUAUUAAAGGAGAAUUGUGAAACUGGGAAGUGUGUCCCUUCACCUCCAGUUUAGUUAUAUACAUUCUUUUUUCCAGUUUUACAAUUCCAUUUUGAAAUUCUGACAGUGAAUUUCCUCUCAGUAAUUCAAAGACCAUUCUUUCCAUAGGAGAACAGUUAAGAGAAAGUCCUAGAAAAUGUAGAUAAAACCUCUUUAAUCUGAGCACUGUAGUUCAUAAGAUGUUGCUAUUUAAAGAGUUUGCAGGAUUUCAAACAUCUCCUGACAAAAAGAUGGCACUGCUUGCCAUAGCUGAAGACUUUUUGUGGUUGCCAUUAGAAACUCAAGCAAGCUGGGAGCCAGCACGGACAGUCUGUGCAGCUCAAGGAUGGAUUGCUGGGUCUGCUUUGUUCUCCCUUUGUGCACAGAAAUGCCUGAGCAAGUGACAGGGGGACAGGGGAUCAGCUGGCCAGCCUGGGCCCGGCACGGAUCAGAGGCUGGGCAGAGUCCUUCCACAUACUUUACCUAGUUGGGAAGAGCUGCAACAGGCAAGAGCCUCUCUCGGAGCAUGAGGACACACCGAGCUCCGCUGGCUUUGCAAAGGCCUUACAAGUACCUGGAAUGCGAAGGGACGGCAGCAUCCCCGUGGUGGCCAUGGAAACAAAAGAGGCGCUGCCCUGAAUGGCCGGGACAGCAGCUCCCGUGUCUGCAGGAUCCACCAGGCUGAGCAGCACCAUCAGCGCUGCUGGCUGUCCCUGGCAGGGCUGGCUGUGUUCUCUGGGGAGCUGAGAAAGUCAUCUGAAAGGACUGAACCCCCACAGUGCCUGCACAGCACAGCGACAGUGCUCUGUGGCCUUCCAAGUGAUGAGAAGGAGCCUGUGGAUUAUGAUUCCUGUUACAGCACUGCUCCUAUUUGUACAUGGCCUUACUGUGCUUUGCAUUUCAUUUUUACAGGCUAUUAUUGCAUAUUUUGUGUGGAGGGCUUUUUAAUGUUGAGUUAUGCUCCUCUGGGGUAUAGAAGACAAAAGGUAGGAGUGGAUUAAGAUACCAGGCACGAAGCAAGAACAUUUCUUUCUCAGAAAAUGUUGCCUGGCUUCUUCCUAGCAAGUUCUGUGCUGCUAAAUACCUCCGGAUUCAUCUGUGGUGUCAAAGUGCUUUUGUUUCAUUUACAGUUUUACUCAGUUUCUCAGGAGAUGAAAGGCAAACAAAGUGACUGAAAAUGUUUGCAAAUGCAGUCUGAAAGCAAGAGCAACCUUUUGUUUCAUUGCUUGGAAACCCCAAAAAGAGAACUGCAAGGAGCAGUUUGCCUGUGAGACUCAGUGCUUCCUGUUCUUCUUGUUUCUACAUGUUCUUUCUCGCUUAAGAAUUUAGACAAAUAAGAGGGACACAGCUUCUGGCAUGCUCUGCCCCGGGGUGCUGAAUUCAGCUGGCACUGCCCAGGCCCCGUUCAGCACCUCCCGGUGCAGUGUCAGUGCAGCCACGGAUAACAUUCCUUGGGAAUGCUGUGAUGCACUGCAUGAUCUCGUGUUUUUCAGUGAUAAAAGCCAGACACUAGAAGGAAAUAGAGAACACAUUUUUCCCACUAAGACAGAAGAGAGAGAACACGUGUUACCAGCCAGUUUGCUCAGCUCAAUACCUACUUGCUCUGUAUCAUAAUUAAUCAAUUCUUCAAGUAGCAAAAUAACCAAAAUACAUUAUUUAUUCAUCUCACUGUGAGUUAUAUGGUCUCUUUGAACAGAGCAAUUAUUUUAAGCUCAGAGAUACUAAAAAUCAGAUAGAACUGCUUUCAUGAGGUGAACUCACAUGUUCAGAAGGGAGAGAAUGUUCGUUUUUAUCAAACAAGAUUUUUUCCAUCCAGAUAUUUCUAUGGAUUUCCCUGGGUGCAGUUUUGCAUGUACCUUCUGGGCUCCUGUGACUCGGCAACAACUGCACAAUAAAGCUCCCAGAAAGGAAUUUGGUCUGACAGUGCAGCGCGAGCUUGGCACAGCCCACACCUCUCCCAUUGUGCAAUGAAGGAUUCUUAACGUCCCAGCUGCUUUGGAAAUGCUCCUACAGGAGUUUGCUGAUGUAGAAUUAGCUUUUAAGCUAAUGCCAAAUAUAAGUUUAAAUCAGUAUACCAUAAAAAUCAAGUUCCUGGUGUCCGUCUGGGAUGUGAGGGGAGUCCUGCAGCAGCUUCAGCACUGACCUUAGGCCAUUGAGGGAAACAGCAAAGUGCAAACCAUCACCCAUUAGAAACAGUGGAACAGCUUUUUUUAUAGCUUCAUUUUCUUAGUGGGAUAAAAAUAAAUAAUUUCUUAGAGGAACUAACGAUCUGAAGAACAAAACACUAAUUAAAUGGGGUGUUUUCAGAUCAUGAAGCCAUUCAUAUGCCUUAAUGAAACAGGCACACAACCCUUCAACUUGUACCCUGAUCCUCUUUACUUUGCUGUUGAUGUUUAACUUGAUUUCUAUCCGUGGUAACAUUCACUGCAGCACCUCAGGGCAGGAGGAAACUGAGUCUGGAACAGCCAUUUUUUGCAUUGCUGAAAGCCCUCAGCCCCAAAACAUCACAAGAACUGGAAAUACUCAGGUUCUAUCUGAAGGCAGAAACACUGACCAGAGACAACAUCAGCCCCUGCUGUGUGUUUUAACCACUGCCCAGUGUCCCCAGUGCUGCAGGCCCCAGCACGGCACCCGGCUCCCUCCAAGGGCAGAGUCCAACCUUCCCAAGGGCAGAGUCAGACUCUCUGAGGGCAGAAUCCAGCUUUCCCAAGGGCAGAACCCAGCCUUUCCAAGGGCAGAAUCCAGCUGCUCUGAGGGAGGCUCCACAAUUUUAACAGGUUUUGCCUGGAGCACAGGAUGCAACAGCCUGCUGGGUGUCAAGCUACAGCCAGCCAGGGAUUGAGAGUUUAAAAAAACAUUCCCAAAGCUCCUGAGAAUUCCAAGGGAAAUAUUUAAAGCAGAAGCAAGAGACAUUAGAAAGGACAGACAGCUGCAGAUGCUCUUAUCCUUGUGAGUGAAAACCUAGGAAUACUUGAAAUACUCCAGAUAGUUAUGACUGGGCAGCAAACACCACAGCAAAGGUCUCUUUGUUUUAAGUAAAUCAUUAACAGGGCAGCCCAAUCAUAGUGAUAAAAAUAUCACACUGAUAUUCUUGGACUAAACUCCCUCACUGUAACUGUCCAUCCAAAACUAAAGCUGAAAAACUGAGAUGCUUCCAAUAGGGGGAAAAAACCACAUAAAGAACAAACUCCUGGGACACAAAGUUUGGAAAGCUGAUCAUUGAAACACAGGAGGUUUACUAGAAGUAUGUUGUAUUACAGCAAAGGAGGUCUGCUCUAAAAUUUCAGUCCAAAAAUAGCCUUUCUCACGGAGUCCUACUCUGAGUGAAAACACAAUAUUAAUAUAAAAUAAUUAGAAACCUUUCUUUGUCCUUUGCACAGUCAAAUUCUAAUUCUUAAUUACCCAACUGAUUUAAUCCAUGGUUAUGUUUUCAGAAAGAAAAUUGUGUUUUAACAACAGUCCAUACCUGGUUUCCUAAACUCCUUGCAUUAUUGCAGGAAGGAUUUAGGUACCAAUAUAUUUGGCGUUAUUUACACUGCUCCUAUUUUGAACCAAACAGGUUUGUGGAGGAAAAGAAAACUAAUAAAAAUAAGUGUUUCUCA